rnacentral:tRNA from 1 species
GCCCCGGUGGUGUAGACCGGUCAAGCAUGCGACCCUCUCGAGGUCGCGACAUGGGUUCAAAUCCCGUCCGGGGCA